CAGGACUUUUAAAGAUAUAUCAAAUGAACUUUCUCUCCUCCCAAUAAAACCUGUUUUAAGUAAAGUGUGGUUAAUAUGAGCGCUAUAUAGAGUUUUCAAAGAAGGGGGGAAAAGGCAGCCUCAGCUUUAGGUAUGAAAAACAUGGGUGACUCCUAAGGUUUAGGGAGCAAAAAUCACCAACUAGUCCCUUGACCUUUUCUCUGUGGAUAUCAGGAGCUGAUAACAGGAUAUCAGGAUAUCACAGGAUAUCUGUGGAUAUCCUGACAGCUGGGGC
rnacentral:lncRNA from 1 species